ACCAACACUUUCAAUAAAACAAUGCAAUAAGAAUUAAAAUUCUGUACUUACAUUGAUAUUUGAAGAUUUAUUGGUUUAGGGUGAUUUACUCACAAUUCUGUUCUCCCACACAGAUCAUUUUUGAGGACUGUGAAGACUUUAGUCACAGAACAAGCCACAAGAGGUGUCAGAUAUGUUUCUGUAAUGGUGACUGGUCCCCACAGUCUUCUUCCUAAGUAGGGAGAAGAACUGGGGAUCAAAGAAGACCUAAAUGUUCAUGGAAGAGUUCAUUUUAAUGACUCAAGGAAAGGAAUAGUGACAAUGGUGACUGCUGGGAAGAAACUAAAGAGUUCACAUGGAAGAGUGACUUGUGACAUGUGUUCAUUCCCCAAGCACCAGGCAAGAAUGCUAGUUGAAACCCACAGCUGUGCCUGCGCCUGUGACACAAAGAAAGGGGCAAGACUCAAACUCAGCUUCUAGGUGUCAGGAGGAGGCCUGUAGUCCUCCCUGUCCACACUUGGCUGAAUCCCCAGAGAAGAGGAAGCUCAGCCCCCUCCAAGCAUUCCUGGGGAGCAGUGAGGACCUGAGCGGGGAGCUUUCCAGACUCUGCAGGCUGUUCCAAGUACAAGUGGAACUGUGUCAAAGGUGUCACCAAAAUGGCCCAGAAACAACCUACCCCAGCUGGCUAGAAUUGACCUCCAACAUCCACACAAGAGGUCCCACCUGGACUCAGUCCAGUCCUCUGAGCUCUCUCUUGUCCCAGACUGCACCAUUUUCUUUCCAGAUCUGCAUUCUAGUCUGGCCUUGGGACUAGCUGUUUGGGCUCCUGCAACUAAUCCCAACCCCGUCCCUGUGAUCAGCUCUGUACUGAUGUGGUCUGCGGAACUCAGCUCACGUGCUCCAAAUCUGUGCCCUGCCUCAAAUGUCAGUUACCUGUGCGUGUGUUCACGGUGUGUAUGGUUCUCUAGGAUAGCUUCGAAACCUACAACAUUUUCAUGUUGGAAAACAAUUGAGAUUAUUUGUGAAAGAACAGCAGGCAGAUUGUGC
rnacentral:lncRNA from 1 species